GCCAGGCGUGGUGGCGCAUGCCUGUGAUCCCAGCUACCUGGGAGGCUGAGGCAGAAGAACCACUUGAAUCCAGGAGGCGGAGGUUGCAGUGAGCCGAGAUCACACUAGUGUGAUCUCGGCUCACUGCAACCUCCGCCUCCUGGAUUCAAGUGGUUCUUCUGCCUC
rnacentral:SRP_RNA from 1 species